UGGGGAAUUUUGGACAAUGGGCGCAAGCCUGAUCCAGCCAUGCCGCGUGAGUGAAGAAGGCCUUCGGGUUGUAAAGCUCUUUCAGACGGAAAGAAAUCUCUCAGGAUAAUACCUUGGGAGGAUGACGGUACCGUAAGAAGAAGCACCGGCUAACUACGUGCCAGCAGCCGCGGUAAUACGGGGGGUGCAAGCGUUGUUCGGAAUUAUUGGGCGUAAAGCGCGUGUAGGCGGUUUGUUAAGUCUGAUGUGAAAGCCCCGGGCUCAACCUGGGAAGUGCAUUGGAAACUGGCAGACUUGAAUACGGGAGAGGGUAGUGGAAUUCCUGGUGUAGGAGUGAAAUCCGUAGAUAUCAGGAGGAACACCGGUGGCGAAGGCGGCUGCCUGGACCGAUAUUGACGCUGAGACGCGAAAGCGUGGGUAGCAAACA
rnacentral:rRNA from 1 species